ACUGCAGUCUGCAACUCGCCUACACGAAGCUGGAAUCGCUAGUAAUCGCGGAUCAGCACGCCGCGGUGAAUACGUUCCCGGGCCUUGUACACACUGCCCGUCACACCAUGAGAGUCUGUAACACCCAAAGCCGGUGGGAUAACCUUUAUAGGAGUCAGCCGUCUAAGGUAGGACAGAUGAUUAGGGUGAAGUCGUAACAAGGUAAC
rnacentral:rRNA from 1 species